GCCCAGUGAAAUAUUUCAACGGCCGCGGUAUUCUAACCGUGCAAAGGUAGCGUAAUCACUUGUCUUCCAAAUAAAGACCAGUAUGAACGGCUAAAUGAGGACAAACCUGUCUCCUGCGACCGAUCAGUGAAAUUGAUCUUCUGGUGCAAAAGCCAGAAUAAUCACAUAAGACGAGAAGACCCUGUGGAGCUUAAAAUCUAUUAUUACCUAAAACUAAUAUUAAUUUUAAGUUGGGGCGACUUCGGAAUAAAACAAAACUUCCGAGCAAGGAGACAUAUACUCCAAAUAAGGCCCACAAGCCAUUAGCCGACCCAGUCACACUGAUCAACGAACCAAGUUACCCCAGGGAUAACAGCGCAAUCCCCUUCAAGAGUCCAUAUCGACAAGGGGGUUUACGACCUCGAUGUUGGAUCAGGACACCCCAAUGGUGCAACCGCUAUUAAAGGUUCGUUUGUUCAACGAUUAAUAGUCCUACGUGAUCUG
rnacentral:rRNA from 1 species